rnacentral:rRNA from 1 species
GUGCCUAAUACAUGCAAGUAGAACGCUGAAGAGAGGAGCUUGCUCUUCUUGGAUGAGUUGCGAACGGGUGAGUAACGCGUAGGUAACCUGCCUUGUAGCGGGGGAUAACUAUUGGAAACGAUAGCUAAUACCGCAUAACAAUGGAUGACACAUGUCAUUUAUUUGAAAGGGGCAAUUGUUCCACUACAAGAUGGACCUGCGUUGUAUUAGCUAGUAGGUGAGGUAAUGGCUCACCUAGGCGACGAUACAUAGCCGACCUGAGAGGGUGAUCGGCCACACUGGGACUGAGACACGGCCCAGACUCCUACGGGAGGCAGCAGUAGGGAAUCUUCGGCAAUGGGGGCAACCCUGACCGAGCAACGCCGCGUGAGUGAAGAAGGUUUUCGGAUCGUAAAGCUCUGUUGUAAGUCAAGAACGGGUGUGAGAGUGGAAAGUUCACACUGUGACGGUAGCUUACCAGAAAGGGACGGCUAACUACGUGCCAGCAGCCGCGGUAAUACGUAGGUCCCGAGCGUUGUCCGGAUUUAUUGGGCGUAAAGCGAGCGCAGGCGGUUUGACAAGUCUGAAGUUAAAGGCUGUGGCUCAACCAUAGUUCGCUUUGGAAACUGUCAAACUUGAGUGCAGAAGGGGAGAGUGGAAUUCCAUGUGUAGCGGUGAAAUGCGUAGAUAUAUGGAGGAACACCGGUGGCGAAAGCGGCUCUCUGGUCUGUAACUGACGCUGAGGCUCGAAAGCGUGGGGAGCGAACAGGAUUAGAUACCCUGGUAGUCCACGCCGUAAACGAUGAGUGCUAGGUGUUGGAUCCUUUCCGGGAUUCAGUGCCGCAGCUAACGCAUUAAGCACUCCGCCUGAGGAGUACGACCGCAAGGUUGAAACUCAAAGGAAUUGACGGGGGCCCGCACAAGCGGUGGAGCAUGUGGUUUAAUUCGAAGCAACGCGAAGAACCUUACCAGGUCUUGACAUCCCGAUGCUAUUUCUAGAGAUAGAAAGUUACUUCGGUACAUCGGUGACAGGUGGUGCAUGGUUGUCGUCAGCUCGCGUCGUGAGAUGUUGGGUUAAGUCCCGCAACGAGCGCAACCCCUAUUGUUAGUUGCCAUCAUUCAGUUGGGCACUCUAGCGAGACUGCCGGUAAUAAACCGGAGGAAGGUGGGGAUGACGUCAAAUCAUCAUGCCCCUUAUGACCUGGGCUACACACGUGCUACAAUGGUUGGUACAACGAGUUGCGAGUCGGUGACGGCGAGCUAAUCUCUUAAAGCCAAUCUCAGUUCGGAUUGUAGGCUGCAACUCGCCUACAUGAAGUCGGAAUCGCUAGUAAUCGCGGAUCAGCACGCCGCGGUGAAUACGUUCCCGGGCCUUGUACACACCGCCCGUCACACCACGAGAGUUUGUAACACCCGAAGUCGGUGAGGUAACCUUUUGGAGCCAGCCGCCUAAGGUGGGACAGAUGAUUGGGGUGAAGUCAUAACA